GUGGACGUGGUGUAUGGUGCACUGCUGCCCAGUUUUAUGACGCCACGCAGGACCAGCAGCAAGGCGGGGUUCGACUCCCCGCGUCUGCA